AUUGAACGCUGGCGGAAUGCUUUACACAUGCAAGUCGAACGGUAGAGGGGGCAACCCCUCGAGAGUGGCGAACGGGUGAGUAAUAUAUCGGAACGUGCCCAGUCGUGGGGGCUAACGUAGCGAAAGUUACGCUAAUACCGCAUACGAUCUAAGGAUGCAAGCGGGGGAUCGCAAGACCUCGCGCGAUUAGAGCGGCCGAUAUCAGAUUAGGUAGUUGGUGGGGUAAAGGCUCACCAAGCCAACGAUCUGUAGCUGGUCUGAGAGGACGACCAGCCACACUGGAACUGAGACACGGUCCAGACUCCUACGGGAGGCAGCAGUGGGGAAUUUUGGACAAUGGACGCAAGUCUGAUCCAGCCAUUCCGCGUGCAGGAUGAAGGCCCUCGGGUUGUAAACUGCUUUUGUACGGAACGAAAAGGUCUCUCUUAAUACGGGGGGCUCAUGACGGUACCGUAAGAAUAAGCACCGGCUAACUACGUGCCAGCCGCCGCAGUAA
rnacentral:rRNA from 1 species